AUUGAACGCUGGCGGCAGGCCUAACACAUGCAAGUCGAACGAGUGGCGGACGGGUGAGUAAUGUCUGGGACACUGCCUGAUGGAUGGGGAUAACUACUGGAAACGGUUGCUAAUACCGCAUACCAUCGGCUAUGCCCAGAUGGGAUUAGCUAGUAGGAGGGGUAAAGGCUCACCUAGGCGACGAUCCCUAGCUGGUCUGAGAGGAUGACCAGCCAAACUGGAACUGAGACACGGUCCAGACUCCUACGGGAGGCAGCAGUGGGGAAUAUUGCACAAUGGGCGCAAGCCUGAUGCAGCCAUGCCGCGUGUAUGAAGAAGGCCUUCGGGUUGUAAAGUACUUUAAGCGGGGAGGCGUUACCCGCAGAAGAAGCACCGGCUAACUCCGUGCCAGCAGCCGCGGUAAUUC
rnacentral:rRNA from 1 species